rnacentral:tRNA from 1 species
GCCGCUGUGGCUUAGUUGGUAGAGCGACGGACUUGUAAUCCGUUGGCCGUGGGUUCAAGUCCCACCAGCGGCU